ACUACGGGAGGCAUCAGUGAGGAAUAUUGGUCAAUGGGCGCGAGCCUGAACCAGCCAAGUCGCGUGAGGGAGGACUGCCCUACGGGUUGUAAACCUCUUUUGCCGGGGAGCAACGGGCGCCACGUGUGGCGUCACUGAGAGUACCCGGAGAAAAAGCAUCGGCUAACUCCGUGCCAGCAGCCGCGGUAAUACGGGGGAUGCGAUCGUUAUCCGGAUUUAUUGGGUUUAAAGGGUGCGUAGGCGGACAGGCAAGUCAGUGGUAAAAUGGCGGGGCUCAACCCCUUCCCGCCGUUGAAACUGGCGUUCUUGAGUGGAAGAGAAGUAUGCGGAAUGCGUGGUGUAGCGGUGAAAUGCAUAGAUAUCACGCAGAACCCCGAUUGCGAAGGCAGCAUGCCGGCUUCCGACUGACGCUGAAGCACGAAAGCGUGGGGAUCGAACAGGAUUAGAUACCCCAGUAGUC
rnacentral:rRNA from 1 species